UACGGAGGGUGCAAACGUUGCUCGGAAUCACUGGGCGUAAAGGGUGCGUAGGCGGGUCUUUAAGUCAGGGGUGAAAUCCUGGAGCUCAACUCCAGAACUGCCUUUGAUACUGAAGAUCUUGAGUUCGGGAGAGGUGAGUGGAACUGCGAGUGUAGAGGUGAGAUUCGUAGAUAUUCGCAAGAACACCAGUGGCGAAGGCGGCUUACUGGUCCGAUACUGACGCUGAGGUGCGAAAGCGUGGGGAGCAAACAGG
rnacentral:rRNA from 1 species